rnacentral:snRNA from 1 species
GGAUGUGAGGGCAAUCUGGCUGCGACAUCUGUCACCCCAUUGAUCGCCAGGGUUGAUUCGGCUGAUCUGGCUGGCUAGGUGGGUGUCCCCUUCCUCCCUUACCGCUCCAUAAUACCUUUUUGUUCGUUUAUGUGGUUCAAGUACAGCUCCUUAAACUCUUAAAAAAAAAAAAAAAAAGUAGAUAGGAUAAGCCUCCAUCACCUAGUUUCAUUAGUUAUUUACAUCAAAGGCUCUGUGGAUUAAU